rnacentral:rRNA from 1 species
UACAGAGGGUGCGAGCGUUAAUCGGAAUUACUGGGCGUAAAGCGCACGUAGUCGGCUUUGCAAGUCGGUUGUGAAAUCCCCGGGCUCAACCUGGGAACUGCAUCCGAGACUGCAUUGCUAGAGUAUGGGAGAGGAAAGCGGAAUUUCUGGUGUAGCAGUGAAAUGCGUAGAUAUCAGAAGGAAUACCGAUGGCGAAGGCAGGUCUCUGGGCUGACACUGACGCUCAUGCACGAAAGCGUGGGGAGCAAACAGG